rnacentral:rRNA from 1 species
AUGAGCUGCGCGAGCCUGCUGCUCCUGCUCUGCGUCCUCCUCCUCCUUGCCGCCAUCGGCCCCUUCGCCGCCGCUGCACGCAGAGAACCAGCAAUGGCGGCCACCGGCGACGAAGCAGAUGGCGCUCAGGCCAAGCUGGCCAGGAUGAAAAUGGCUCUCGCAGACGGCCAGGAGGAGAGGGUGAUCGUGAGGAAGCAGGAGAGUACAGACUCUGACAGUUUCACCACCACAAAGUUUUCUUCGAAUGCCAAGAAUCGGUUCGACGGCCGGGUGCCCUUCACCGCCGAUUACCACACCGUACGCAGGCACCCGCCCUCGCACAACUAG